ACCGUUGAGGACAGCCGGCCCGAUAACGUUGAGCGUCGUUACUGCUCGUUCUGCAAACACAAAAUGAGAUAAAAAAUACCACAAAAAUACCAAAAAUACCGGAAUUCCACUAUACCGAUAUACGCUCGUCAGACGUUGCCGGCCUUCCGCAUGAGAAGUAUCACGACGUUAGGAACUCUAAGUGCGUACCUUGCUUAGUGCCGCUCGAACGUAUGAACUCUAAGCCGAUGUGCGCGGCAUAGUCGACUGCCAGGCCAGCACAUAGCAAGACCAUGAUGGUCGACGAAAUUUCGAUGGUCAGGUCCAUGAAGUACAUCGAACCUAAAAGGUCGACGAGUGUGAACAACACGCAACACAU